rnacentral:rRNA from 1 species
GAUGAACGCUGGCGGCGUGCCUAAUACAUGCAAGUCGAGCGAACAGACGAGGAGCUUGCUCCUCUGACGUUAGCGGCGGACGGGUGAGUAACACGUGGAUAACCUACCUAUAAGACUGGGAUAACUUCGGGAAACCGGAGCUAAUACCGGAUAAUAUCUUGAACCGCAUGGUUCAAUAGUGAAAGACGGUUUUGCUGUCACUUAUAGAUGGAUCCGCGCCGCAUUAGCUGGUUGGUAAGGUAACGGCUUACCAAGGCGACGAUGCGUAGCCGACCUGAGAGGGUGAUCGGCCACACUGGAACUGAGACACGGUCCAGACUCCUACGGGAGGCAGCAGUAGGGAAUCUUCCGCAAUGGGCGAAAGCCUGACGGAGCAACGCCGCGUGAGUGAUGAAGGUCUUCGGAUCGUAAAACUCUGUUAUUAGGGAAGAACAAAUGUGUAAGUAACUAUGCACGUCUUGACGGUACCUAAUCAGAAAGCCACGGCUAACUACGUG